GUGCUCGCUUCAGCAGCACGUGUACUAAAAUCAGACCAAUACGGAGAUUAGCGUGGCCUCUGCACAAAGGUGACAUGCAAAUUCAUAAGCACAACUCUUCU
rnacentral:snRNA from 1 species